rnacentral:rRNA from 1 species
UACGUAGGGUGCAAGCGUUAAUCGGAAUUACUGGGCGUAAAGCGUGCGCAGGCGGUUUGGUAAGACAGAUGUGAAAUCCCCGGGCUUAACCUGGGAAUUGCAUUUGUGACUGCCCGGCUAGAGUUUGGCAGAGGGGGGUAGAAUUCCACGUGUAGCAGUGAAAUGCGUAGAGAUGCGGAGGAACACCGAUGGCGAAGGCAGCCCCCUGGGCUAGCACUGACGCUCAGGCACGAAAGCGUGGGGAGCAAACAGG